rnacentral:lncRNA from 1 species
UUUUAGCUAGUGUAAGUCAUGCAUAGGCGUCGUCGUCCCUUAGGCGGGCGCCCAACAUGAACAUGCCAUUGUUUCACUCAUCCGAAUAUUUUACAAAUAUAUCACUACAAUAUUUUUAUAAAAGAAAAUUAUAAUUUGUUAAACAUAAAUAUGUGAUAUUAUAAAAUUACUUUUAAAAAAAAAAUCAAAACAAAUAUCCUUAAAUUCUAC